AGUAUAAUUGCUGGAUCAAAUGGUAACUGUGUGUUUUAACUUUUUGAGGAACUGCCAAACUGUUUUCUAAAGUGGCUAUACCAUUUUAGGUUCCCACCAGCAGU
rnacentral:pre_miRNA from 1 species